rnacentral:rRNA from 1 species
AGUGAACGCUGGCGGCAGGCCUAACACAUGCAAGUCGAGCGGCAGCGCUAAGGGCAACCUGAGGCGGCGAGCGGCGACGGGUGAGGAAUGCAUCGGGAUCUACCCUGGUCGUGGGGGACAACGUAGGGAAACUUACGCUAAUACCGCAUGAUCUGGAGACAGCAAAGCCGGGGACCUUCGGGCCUGGCGCGAUGGGAUGAGCCGAUGUCCGAUUAGCUAGUUGGCGGGGUAAAGGCCCACCAAGGCGACGAUCGGUAGCUGGUCUGAGAGGAUGAUCAGCCACACUGGAACUGAGACACGGUCCAGACUCCUACGGGAGGCAGCAGUGAGGAAUCUUGCGCAAUGGGGGCAACCCUGACGCAGCAACGCCGCGUGAGUGAGGAAGGUCUUCGGAUCGUAAAGCUCUGUUGGGUGGAAAGAAAUGUAUGGGGUUAACAGCCUGCAUACUUGACGGUACCACCAAAGGAAGCACCGGCUAACUCCGUG